rnacentral:rRNA from 1 species
UACGGAGGGUGCAAGCGUUAAUCGGAAUUACUGGGCGUAAAGCGUGCGCAGGCGGUUUGUUAAGUCCGUUGUGAAAGCCCCGAGCUCAACUUGGGAAUUGCAGUGGAUACUGGCAGGCUGGAGUACGGUAGAGGAAGGUGGAAUUCCCGGUGUAGCAGUGAAAUGCGUAGAUAUCGGGAGGAACACCAGUGGCGAAGGCGGCCAACUGGACUGGUAUUGACGCUGAGGCGCGAAAGCGUGGGGAGCAAACAGG